rnacentral:rRNA from 1 species
UACGUAGGGACCGAGCGUUGUCCGGAUUCAUUGGGCGUAAAGGGCUCGUAGGUGGCCAACUAAGUCAGACGUGAAAUCCCUCGGCUUAACCGGGGAACUGCGUCUGAUACUGGAUGGCUUGAGUUUGGGAGAGGGAUGCGGAAUUCCAGGUGUAGCGGUGAAAUGCGUAGAUAUCUGGAGGAACACCGGUGGCGAAGGCGGCAUCCUGGACCAACACUGACACUGAGGAGCGAAAGCCAGGGGAGCAAACGGG